rfam:Gossypium raimondii Chr10_contig_1451, whole genome shotgun sequence.
UGUUAAAAAUUUCAUAUAUUUUUAUUGUUAAAAACAGGCGUGGCUGAUAGAAAAAUCAGACUGUGACGCGCGGUGAGCCAUGUAUACCUUAUUUUGAUGUAUAAGGAACGAUUUCUAAUAGUAGAAAUGGAUUGAAUUUUUUUAAUG